rnacentral:lncRNA from 1 species
UUUUUGUUAUUUCGUUGUGCACCGUUGGCAUCUUUUAACAAAGAGCUCGGAGCUUGUGAAAAGCUUUGUACCAGCAGUCGGGUUGCUUACAUCGCGUAAUGACGAGCCCAAGCGGGGGGGAUCGUAUUUUGUUGUCUUUAGCCUUGCUCUGACAAGGAGAGCACAAUGCGCGCCUGUUAACGAAAUGCGCAGACAGCAAUAUCAAUCAACCUUGACAAUCAUGUCUUAGAUGUGUGUGCGUGUGUAUGCGUGUACGUGUUAUUCAGAUAAUGUGACAGUCAUGUUUCAUCGUGCAAAGGGUUUACUUACGAAGUUGUUGAAAAAUGCCGUGAGCAUCCGACCGAAGAUGCAACGAGGUAAACAAUAAAGAGAGAUGUAUUAGUGUGUGAUACGA